CAGGUGAACGGUAACGUCAUCUAUGGGAGAUGUCACCUGAACGCCUCCAGCAUCUUCAAGGGAAUCCCAGGCCCUACCGUCAAGAUCAUCGUCCUCAGGAAGAGGAGCGGCCUGCAGGAGAUGGCCAUAAAGCCUGUUACCCAGUUCCCGGUGACCCUAGAAGACGAGAAACCAGAGGAGAAAUAUGCACGCUUCAAGGGCCUUACCAACGUCAUUAUGAAGAAGGUAAGUCUG